rnacentral:tRNA from 1 species
GGAAGCUUGGGGGAGUGGUUUAACCCAACGGUCUUGAAAACCGUCGGCCGGCAACGGCCCGUGAGUUCGAAUCUCACAGCUUCCGCCA